rnacentral:rRNA from 1 species
CCUGCUUUUGUGGGGUGCUCGAGUGGCGAACGGGUGAGUAACACGUGAGUAACCUGCCCUUGACUUUGGGAUAACUUCAGGAAACUGGGGCUAAUACCGGAUAGGAGCUCCUGCUGCAUGGUGGGGGUUGGAAAGUUUCGGCGGUUGGGGAUGGACUCAUCUUUCUAGAAGAUCUCCUACAAUAUUCUCAGCUGCCAUGGAAAAUCGAUGUUCUUCUUUUAUUCUCUCAAGAUUUUCAGGCUGUAUAUUAAAACUUAUAUUAAGAACUAUGCUAACCACCUCAUCAGGAACCGUUGUAGGUGGCGUGGGUUUUCUUGGCAAUCGACUCUCAUGAAAACUACGAGCUAAAUAUUCAAUAUGUUCCUCUUGACCAACUUUAUUCUGCAUUUUUUUUGAACGAGGUUUAGAGCAAGCUUCAGGAAACUGAGACAGGAAUUUUAUUAAAAAUUUAAAUUUUGAAGAAAGUUCAGGGUUAAUAGCAUCCAUUUUUUGCUUUGCAAGUUCCUCAGCAUUCUUAACAAAAGACGUCUCUUUUGACAUGUUUAAAGUUUAAACCUCCUGUGUGAAAUUAUUAUCCGCUCAUAAUUCCACACAUUAUACGAGCCGGAAGCAUAAAGUGUAAAGCCUGGGGUGCCUAAUGAGUGAGCUAACUCACAUUAAUUGCGUUGCGCUCACUGCCAAUUGCUUUCCAGU